UUUUCAUAGUAUAUACCUUUCUAUACAAUAUCCAACUUAGCACAUAUUUACAACUUGAGUAAUCCUGUAAUUAGUCUAUUGAUAUGUUUUGGCUGACUGGAUGUAGCUCAUUUACGUAGUUUUGUAAAUCUACUCACUAUAAUAUCAUUGUAAAAAUGGGAUUUCAAAAGGCCCUUGACUUUAGAAUGUAAAGAAGGUAGCUGCUGGUGUAAGUAUGUUUAUUGAUAUGAACGAAGCGUUGUUUUACUAUACAUGUACUUAUUUACGUGGUAAGAUGACAAAAUGAAUUGACCAAGAGCAGACAAUUCUUAAAUUGCAGUGAAAGCUUUACAUUCUUGAAAACAUUUUUUUAAUUUCACAUAAAACCUAAAACUAACUUUUGAAUGAGUACAAACAGUUAAAUCCCCCUCCCACAUCUUUGGUUGAAACACCUUUUAAAAAUGGCUGGAUCUGCCCCUGGUAUGUACCCAUAGGUAGUCUAGUAGAUAGUUUAUAUGCAUGAAAUAUUUGUUACUGGACAUUAGGCAACCAAUUAUCGACCAAUUUAUGACUAAAUAUAUCAAAUUGCUUUAUUAAUAAUUUCCCUUCAAAAGAUUCAUGGUUGACUCUUUUUGUGUACAAAGUAAUUGCAUGGAAGAUAAAGGAUUACAAAUUUUAGAUUGAGUUGUACUUUAAUCAAGGUAUAAAGCACCA
rnacentral:lncRNA from 1 species